UACAGAGGUCUCAAGCGUUGUUCGGAUUCAUUGGGCGUAAAGGGUGUGUAGGUGGCGCGCUAAGUCGGGUGUGAAAUUUCGGAGCUUAACUCCGAAACUGCAUUCGAUACUGGCGUGCUUGAGGACUGGAGAGGAGACUGGAAUUUACGGUGUAGCAGUGAAAUGCGUAGAUAUCGUAAGGAAGACCAGUGGCGAAGGCGGGUCUCUGGACAGUUCCUGACGCUGAGACACGAAGGCCAGGGGAGCAAACGGGAUUAGAUACCCCGGUAGUCCUGGCAGUAAACGGUGCACGUUUGGUGUGGGAGGAUUCGACCCCUUCUGCGCCGGAGCUAACGCGUUAAACGUGCCGCCUGGGGAGUACGGUCGCAAGAUUAAAACUCAAAG
rnacentral:rRNA from 1 species